rnacentral:misc_RNA from 1 species
GUUUCUAUUUUACAUAGAUAUCAGACAAAUAGGAUAUGGUUCUUACAGUGGGCAAGCUCAGAGAGACAUGCCCAAAAUACAAUAAUAGUGCACAAAAGGUUGAUUGUCAAGGCGAACUCAACCUAGAAACUAGGGAGUUCAGCCAAGACAUGUAUCAGUAAUGAUCCAACCGCAGGUUCACCUACGGUUA